rnacentral:rRNA from 1 species
GGCCUAAUACAUGCAAGUCGAACGAUAUUGAGGGGCUUGCUCCUUAAGAAAGUGGCGCACGGGUGCGUAACGCGUAUGCAACCUACCUUAAUCAGGGGGAUAGCCCGAAGAAAUUCGGAUUAACACCGCAUAAAAACACAGAGUAGCAUUACUCAAUGUUCAAAUAUUUAUAGGAUUAAGAUGGGCAUGCGUGUCAUUAGCUAGUUGGCGGGGUAACGGCCCACCAAGGCGACGAUGACUAGGGGAUCUGAGAGGAUGACCCCCCACACUGGUACUGAGACACGGACCAGACUCCUACGGGAGGCAGCAGUAAGGAAUAUUGGUCAAUGGAGGCAACUCUGAACCAGCCAUGCCGCGUGCAGGAAGACGGCCCUAUGGGUUGUAAACUGCUUUUAUCUGGGAAUAAACCUACUUACGUGUAAGUAGCUGAAUGUACCAGAAGAAUAAGGAUCGGCUAACUCCGUGCCAGCAGCCGCGGUAAUACGGAGGAUCCAAGCGUUAUCCGGAUUUAUUGGGUUUAAAGGGUGCGUAGGCGGCCUGUUAAGUCAGAGGUGAAAGACGGUAGCUCAACUAUCGCAGUGCCUUUGAUACUGACGGGCUUGAAUAAACUAGAGGUAGGCGGAAUGAGACAAGUAGCGGUGAAAUGCAUAGAUAUGUCUCAGAACACCGAUUGCGAAGGCAGCUUACUAUGGUUUUAUUGACGCUGAGGCACGAA